rnacentral:rRNA from 1 species
GACAGAGGGUGCAAACGUUGUUCGGAAUUACUGGGCGUAAAGCGCGUGUAGGCGGUCCGCUAAGUCGGGUGUGAAAGCCCUGGGCUCAACCCAGGAAGUGCACUCGAAACUGGCGGGCUAGAGUAUCGGAGAGGUUGGUGGAAUUCUCGGUGUAGAGGUGAAAUUCGUAGAUAUCGAGAGGAACACCGGUGGCGAAGGCGGCCAACUGGACGAAUACUGACGCUGAGACUCGAAGGCGUGGGGAGCAAACAGG